GCUUGUCUCAAAGAUUAAGCCAUGCAUGUCUUAGUGUAAAUAACUCUUAUGAAACUGCGAAUGGCUCAUUAAAUCAGUUAUCGUUUAUUUGAUGGUCCCUUACUACAUGGAUAACCGUAGUAAUUCUAGAGCUAAUACAUGCACAAAGGCCCGACUCACGAAGGGCUGUAUUUAUUAGAUUUAAAGCCGACAUCUUUUGGUGAUUCAUAAUAACUAAUCGGAUCGCAUGGGCUUUGCCCGCGACAAACCAUUCAAGUUUCUGCCCCAUCAGCUUUCGAUGGUAGUGUAUUGGACUACCAUGGCUAUUACGGGUAACGGAGGAUUAGGGUUCGAUUCCGGAGAGGGAGCCUGAGAAACGGCUACCACAUCUAAGGAAGGCAGCAGG
rnacentral:rRNA from 1 species